CAUUGUCGAAUCUCGCACAAGAGGAAUGACCCGUGAAUUGUCUAUUUGCACCCUUUGGAACGAGUGCCCGUGGGGCGACCUCCGGCGUCUCGGUCAAAAUACAGAAAACCCGGCGCGGUUUGCGCCAAGGAAUUCAUAAUGGAAAGCAGGCAUCCGAACGAUGAUACCGUUUUGAUGCCGUUGGUUUUCCAAGAAAUCUCGAAAGACUCUCGGCAACGGAUAUCUCGGCUCUCGCAUCGAUGAAGAACGUAGCGAAAUGCGAUACUUGGUGUGAAUUGCAGAAUCCCGCGAACCAUCGAGUUUUUGAACGCAAGUUGCGCCCGAGGCCACCCGGUCGAGGGCACGUCUGCCUGGGCGUCACGCAAACGCCACUCCCAUCCCUCGCAAGAGUUUGGAGGAGAGUGAACGUUGGCCCCCCGCGACCCAGUUCGCGGCCGGCUAAAAUGGCCUCACGUCCCGUUGCUUGACGACACGAUCAAUGGUGGUUGAUGACACACUCUUGCCACGAUUGGACGACGCGAUCGGAAGCACGGGGUGAGCGAACCCUCGAGCAGAGUGAGAUAACUCCCACACGCGACCUCAGGUCAGGCGGGGACACCCGCUGAGUUUAAGCAUAUC
rnacentral:rRNA from 1 species